AGCGAGCGGAACCACAGAUUUACUUCGGUAAUGACGUUGGGAAAGCGAGCGGCGGAUGGGUGAGUAACACGUGGGGAACCUGCCCCUAAGUCUGGGAUACCAUUUGGAAACAGGUGCUAAUACCGGAUAAUAAAGCAGAUCGCAUGAUCAGCUUUUGAAAGGCGGCGUAAGCUGUCGCUAAGGGAUGGCCCCGCGGUGCAUUAGCUAGUUGGUAAGGUAACGGCUUACCAAGGCGACGAUGCAUAGCCGAGUUGAGAGACUGAUCGGCCACAUUGGGACUGAGACACGGCCCAAACUCCUACGGGAGGCAGCAGUAGGGAAUCUUCCACAAUGGACGCAAGUCUGAUGGAGCAACGCCGCGUGAGUGAAGAAGGUUUUCGGAUCGUAAAGCUCUGUUGUUGGUGAAGAAGGAUAGAGGUAGUAACUGGCCUUUAUUUGACGGUAAUCAACCAGAAAGUCACGGCUAACUACGUGCCAGCAGCCGCGGUAAUACGUAGGUGGCAAGCGUUGUCCGGAUUUAUUGGGCGUAAAGCGAGCGCAGGCGGAAAAAUAAGUCUAAUGUGAAAGCCCUCGGCUUAACCGAGGAACUGCAUCGGAAACUGUUUUUCUUGAGUGCAGAAGAGGAGAGUGGAACUCCAUGUGUAGCGGUGGAAUGCGUAGAUAUAUGGAAG
rnacentral:rRNA from 1 species